rnacentral:rRNA from 1 species
UUAAAUUAGUAAGAGCGUACGGUGGAUGUCUUGGCAUAUAGAGCAGAAGAAGGACGCAGAUAACGGCGAAACGCCUCGGGGAGUCGUACACAGGCAACGAUCCGGGGGUAUCCGAAUGGGGAAACCCGAUAAAGUUGAAAAGCUUUAUCAUCCUUAAGCCAAUACAUAACUUAAGAGAAGGCAACCCAGGGAAUUGAAACAUCUUAGUACCUGGAGGAGAAGAAAAUAACAAUGAUUCCGAGAGUAGUGGCGAGCGAAAUCGGAGCAGCCCAAACCAGCAAAGAGCUGGGGUAGUAGGACCACGACAAGUGAUUGAAAAGAGAUAGUCGAAUGGCAUUGAAAGGUCAGCCGCAGAAGGUGCAAGCCCUGUAGGCGAAAUCUCGAUUCACGCGAGUGGGAUCCUGAGUACGUCGGAGCACGUGAAACUCUGACGGAAUCGACCGGGACCAUCCGGUAAGGCUAAAUACUCCUAUAUGACCGAUAGUGAACCAGUACCAUGAGGGAAAGAUGAAAAGAACCGCGGGAGCGGAGUGAAAUAGAUCCUGAAACCGUAUGCUUACAAAAAGUCAGAGCACAUUAAGGUGUGAUGGCGUGCCUUUUGUAGAAUGAACCGGCGAGUUAUCUUUGCAUGCGAGGUUAAGCAGACAAUGCGGAGCCGUAGCGAAAGCGAAUCUUAAUAGGGUGACAAGUAUGUAGAGAUAGACCCGAAGCCGUAGUGAUCUAGUCAUGAGCAGGUUGAAGGCUGGGUGAAUCCAGCUGGAGGACCGAACCGACCCCCGUUGAAAAGUUGGCGGAUGACUUGUGAUUAGCGGAGAAAUUCCAAUCGAACACGGCGAUAGCUGGUUCUCCCCGAAAUAGCUUUAGGGCUAGCGUUGAACGAAUCUACCCGGAGGUAGAGCACUGAAAUCAUGCGGGCGGCAUCUCGCCGUACCAAAUGAUAUCAAACUCCGAAUGCCGGGCAAGAAUAUUCAGCAGUCAGACUGUGGGUGAUAAGGUCCAUGGUCAAAAGGGAAACAGCCCAGAUCAUCAGAUAAGGUCCCAAAAUUUACGCUAAGUGGAAAAGGAUGUGGAGACGCGCAAACAGCUAGGAGGUUGGCUCAGAAGCAGCCAUCCUUCAAAGAGUGCGUAACAGCUCACUAGUCGAGUAUCUCUGCGCCGAAAAUUAACCGGGGCUAAGCGUAAUACCGAAUCUAUGGAUUUAUACUUAGGUAUAAGUGGUAGGGGAGCGUUCCAUACAGCAUUGAAGGUAUACCGUAAGGAGUGCUGGAGCGUAUGGAAGUGAGAAUGCCGGUGUGAGUAGCGAGAUGUGGGUGAGAAUCCCACACACCGAAAAACCAAGGUUUCCAGGGGAAGGUUCGUCCGCCCUGGGUAAGUCGGGACCUAAGGCCAGGCCGAAAGGCGUAGUCGAUGGACAGCAGGUUGAUAUUCCUGCACCCGCGAGUAAAGUGAUGGAGUGACAGAUAGGGUUAACCCAAGUCCUUAAUGGAUUGGGCAAGGCAAGCAGGAGAGUGGCGUAGGCAAAUCCGCGCCGGAUACUCAAAGGCUUGACUCAAGCGAACGCGCGAGCAAGUAGUGAAGAGGGUGAUACCAGGUCUCAAGAAAAGCUUCUAGCGAUAAUUUACUAGCGGCCCGUACCAAAACCGACACAGGUGGUUGAGGCGAGUAGCCUAAGGUGAGCGAGAGAACUGUUGCCAAGGAACUCGGCAAAUUGACCCCGUACGUUAGCAAUAAGGGGUGCUCGAAAGAGCCGCAGUGAAUAGGCCCUAGCAACUGUUUAACUAAAACAUAGCUCUCUGCGAAGUCGCAAGACGAAGUAUAGGGGGUGACACCUGCCCGGUGCUGGAAGGUCAAGGGGAUUUGUCAGACGCAAGUCGAAGCAUUGAACCGAAGCCCCAGUGAACGGCGGCCGUAACUAUAACGGUCCUAAGGUAGCGAAAUUCCUUGUCGGGUAAG